rnacentral:rRNA from 1 species
ACACUGGAACUGAGACACGGUCCAGACUCCUACGGGAGGCAGCAGUGGGGAAUAUUGCACAAUGGGCGCAAGCCUGAUGCAGCCAUGCCGCGUGUGUGAAGAAGGCCUUCGGGUUGUAAAGCACUUUCAGUCGUGAGGAAGGUGGUGUAGUUAAUAGCUGCAUCAUUUGACGUUAGCGACAGAAGAAGCACCGGCUAACUCCGUGCCAGCAGCCGCGGUAAUACGGAGGGUGCGAGCGUUAAUCGGAAUUACUGGGCGUAAAGCGCAUGCAGGUGGUUUGUUAAGUCAGAUGUGAAAGCCCGGGGCUCAACCUCGGAAUAGCAUUUGAAACUGGCAGACUAGAGUACUGUAGAGGGGGGUAGAAUUUCAGGUGUAGCGGUGAAAUGCGUAGAGAUCUGAAGGAAUACCGGUGGCGAAGGCGGCCCCCUGGACAGAUACUGACACUCAGAUGCGAAAGCGUGGGGAGCAAACAGGAUUAGAUACCCUGGUAGUCCACGCCGUAAACGAUGUCUACUUGGAGGUUGUGGCCUUGAGCCGUGGCUUUCGGAGCUAACGCGUUAAGUAGACCGCCUGGGGAGUACGGUCGCAAGAUUAAAACUCAAAUGAAUUGACGGGGGCCCGCACAAGCGGUGGAGCAUGUGGUUUAAUUCGAUGCAACGC